rnacentral:rRNA from 1 species
GAUGAACGCUGGCGGCGUGCCUAAUACAUGCAAGUCGAGCGAACGGACGAUAAGCUUGCUUCUUUGAUGUUAGCGGCGGACGGGUGAGUAACACGUGGAUAACCUACUUAUAUUACUGGGAUAAUUUCGGGAAACCGUAUCUAAUACCGGAUAAUAUUUUGAACCGCAUGGUUCAAAAGUGAAAGACGGUCUUGCUGUCACUUAUAGCUGGAUCCGCGCUGCAUUAGAUAGUUGGUAAGGUAACGGCUUACCAAGGCUACGAUGCAUAGCCGACCUGAGAGGGUGAUCGGCCACACUGGAACUGAGACACGGUCCAGACUCCUACGGGAGGCAGCAGUAGGGAAUCUUCCGCAAUGGGCGAAAGCCUGACAGAGCAACGCCGCGUGAGUGAUGAAGGUCUUCGGAUCGUAAAGCUCUGUUAUUGGGGAAGAACAGAUGUGGAAGUAACUGUAGACAUCUUGACGGUACCUAAUCAAAAAGCAACGGCUAACUACGUG